UUGAGUGGCGGACGGGUGAGUAACGCGUGGGUAACCUGCCCUGUACAGGGGGAUAACAGUCAGAAAUGACUGCUAAUACCGCAUAAGACCACAGCACCGCAUGGUGCAGGGGUAAAAACUCCGGUGGUACAGGAUGGACCCGCGUCUGAUUAGCUAGUUGGUGGGGUAACGGCCUACCAAGGCGACGAUCAGUAGCCGGCCUGAGAGGGUGAACGGCCACAUUGGGACUGAGACACGGCCCAGACUCCUACGGGAGGCAGCAUG
rnacentral:rRNA from 1 species